AUGGGUGUAGAAUAGUUUAUUUAGAAUAAUACAAGCAAUGGGUGAUGCAGUGCCUGCCUUUUAGUUUUGCUUACAGUCUCUUAAAUGCUAAUAGCCUUUUACGACCUCGCUCAGAAUUCUGAUCACUAUGCCCACUUAAAAAAACUGAAGCAUUUUGCUACAUAGCAACUAAAUCAAGGAUUACUGUUAUAUGGAAAUUUGCCAAGUGACAUUCAGAGAGUUUCCAUAGACGCUUGUGGGGUUUGACAAGCAAAAUAAUGUCAAUUUCCACUUAAAAAUAUUUUUCCAUAUUUAUAAACUAUAAUAAAAAGCAUUUGUAUUCAACAAUGUUUUAUACCAAAUUAUAGUAUAUUUAUAUGAGAGAAACCAAGUUUAGCUAGUGUUACUAGGUAAACAUUUUUUUUUUCCAUUCUGGUAAAUUUAAAACCUUUUAAAUAC
rnacentral:lncRNA from 1 species